rnacentral:rRNA from 1 species
UACGUAGGGGGCAAGCGUUGUCCGGAUUUAUUGGGCGUAAAGCGCGUGUAGGCGGCCAUACAGGUCCGUUGUGAAAACUCGAGGCUUAACCUCGAGACGUCGAUGGAAACCGUAUGGCUAGAGUCCGGAAGAGGAGAGUGGAAUUCCUGGUGUAGCGGUGAAAUGCGCAGAUAUCAGGAGGAACACCAAUUGCGAAGGCAGCUCGCUGGGACGUUACUGACGCUGAGACGCGAAAGCGUGGGGAGCGAACAGG